rnacentral:snRNA from 1 species
AUGCUCGCUUCAGCAGCAUGUAUACUAAAAUUAGAAUUAUAGAAGAUUAACAUGGUCCUUGCACAAGGAUGACAAACACGUAGAUUUGUGAAGUACUCCAUGUUU